GCCUUUAAUGUUUUAAUCUGUUGGAAGGAAAUGAUAGGACUAGGUACCGUCUUUGAUGUUCAACAUUGUUUCAAGAAAGUGAGGCAUUGGGAGAGGGUGGCUAAUGAAUAAUCUCCACAUAGCUAGCGAUCUGCAAGCCACACAGGUUUCCUAUCUAUAAAUCGGAUAGUUGAGGCAGAGUGUUAGAAAGAAGCUUGUGCACAGACUGACGACUGCAAGGCUGUGCAAACUAAGGCUACCUGGGGGAGUCAAUUUGCCACUUCUUGAGGGCUUCCAAGUGGCAGACUGGGGUGCUUGCUUGGGUUUCCAAAUCUUGUUACAUUUGCAAAAGCAGCAUCAUUAGUUCUGAGCUAGGUGUAUGCAUCUGAACUGCCUGCUGGUCCAAGAAGGCAUUCCUCUAGAAAAGUACAGAAGAUCACUUUCAGAACAUGAAUGAGCAGAUGUUGUGUGAAGAAGUGGACCAAGAAUGUUGACCUCACCUCUUCCUUUGAGACAAAGGAACAACCAAUGCAACUGACUAGAAUCUGAAGAAGGCCAUCUGAAAUACUCAAGAUAUAUAUAUUUUUUUAUGAUAUGUGAUUAUAUAUGGGCUCCUUACAGACUUCCAUGCAAGUACUGACUGCACAAUUCACUUCAUUGUAAGGGUCUGUUCCAAAAGACGUGCAGAACCCAGUGCAAAAUACUGUGUGCACAUCAGAACUCUGUAUCCUUAACCCAAACUAAGGUCACUAGCAGCCUGCAAACUUCAUUCAGGUGGUCUGUGAAGAACAGCAGGAGCAGCAACUACAGGGGGCAGGCACAUUCAUUCUGAUCUUUAGUUUUCUCUUUAUUGCUUCUUUUGCUUCUUAGCUUCUUAAUAUGAUUUAUUAUUGU